UUUCCGUAGGUGAACCUGCGGAAGGAUCAUUCAUAAUAAGCGUUUUAUGGCACUUUUUAAAUCCAUAUCCACCUUGUGUGCAAUGUCAGUCGUUCUCUCUUUUGGGAACGACCAAACAUCAACUUAUUCUUUAACUCUUUGUCUGAAAAAUAUUAUGAAUGAAAUAAUUCAAAAUACAACUUUCAACAACGGAUCUCUUGGCUCUC
rnacentral:misc_RNA from 1 species